GGGAUUGCCUCAGUAACGGCGAGUGAAGCGGCAAGAGCUCAAAUUUAAAAUCUGGCCCCCGCGGGGUCCGAGUUGUAAUUUGUAGAGAGUGUUUCGGGCGAGUUGGCGGUCUAAGUCCAUUGGAACGUGGCGUCAUAGAGGGUGAGAAUCCCGUAUGUGACCGCGAUUCGAGCUCAUGUGAAACCUCUUCGACGAGUCGAGUUGUUUGGGAAUGCAGCUCAAAACGGGUGGUAAAUUUCAUCUAAAGCUAAAUACCGGCUGGAGACCGAUAGCGCACAAGUAGAGUGAUCGAAAGAUGAAAAGCACUUUGGAAAGAGAGUUAAACAGUACGUGAAAUUGUUGAAAGGGAAGCGCUUGCAACCAGACUUGCCCGUGGGUGAUCAGCCGCUGUUCUCAGCGGUGUAUUCGCCCUGCGAUCAGGCCAGCAUCGGUUUCGGCGGCCGGAUAAAAGUCUUGGGAAUGUAGCUCCCCUUCGGGGAAGUGUUAUAGCCCUUGGCGUAAUGCGGCCAGUCGAGACCGAGGACCGCGCUUCGGCUAGGAUGCUGGCGUAAUGGUUGCAAGCGACCCGUCUUGAAACACGGACCAAGGAGUCUAACAUCUAUGCGAGUGUUUGGGUGUCAAACCCAUGCGCGGAAUGAAAGUGAACGGAGGUGAGACCCCUGGAGGGCGCAUCAUCGACCGAUCCAGAUGUCUUCGGAUGGAUUUGAGUACGAGCAUAGCUGUUGGGACCCGAAAGAUGGUGAACUAUGCCUGAAUAGGGUGAAGCCAGAGGAAACCUCUGGUGGAGGCUCGCAGCGGUUCUGACGUGACAAAUCGAUCGUCAUA
rnacentral:rRNA from 1 species